CGCGGCCUAUCAGCUUGUUGGUGGGGUGACGGCCUACCAAGGCGACGACGGGUAGCCGGCCUGAGAGGGUGUCCGGCCACACUGGGACUGAGAUACGGCCCAGACUCCUACGGGAGGCAGCAGUGGGGAAUAUUGCACAAUGGGCGCAAGCCUGAUGCAGCGACGCCGCGCGGGGGAUGACGGCCUUCGGGUUGUAAACCUCUUUCACCAUCGACGAAGGUCCGGGAUUUCUCGGAUUGACGGUAGGUGGAGAAGAAGCACCGGCCAACUACGUGCCAGCAGCCGCGGUAAUACGUAGGGUGCGAGCGUUGUCCGGAAUUACUGGGCGUAAAGAGCUCGUAGGUGGUUUGUCGCGUUGUUCGUGAAAUCUCACGGCUUAACUGUGAGCGUGCGGGCGAUACGGGCAGACUGGAGUACUGCAGGGGAGACUGGAAUUCCUGGUGUAGCGGUGGAAUGCGCAGAUAUCAGGAGGAACACCGGUGGCGAAGGCGGGUCUCUGGGCAGUAACUGACGCUGAGGAGCGAAAGCGUGGGGAGCGAACAGGAUUAGAUACCCUGGUAGUCCACGCCGUAAACGGUGGGUACUAGGUGUGGGUUUCCUUCCUUGGGAUCCGUGCCGUAGCUAACGCAUUAAGUACCCCGCC
rnacentral:rRNA from 1 species